rnacentral:lncRNA from 1 species
CCCUGCCCUCACGGCCAGGCGGGCGAGGACGGAAGGACAGCGCGAGUGAGAGCAGCCUUGAGGGAGGGCGAGAAGGACAGGCGGCGUGACAGCGGCCGGCUGAGCGCUGCAGCGGAGCAUUCGGCAGCGAGGACGAGCGAGCCCCGCGGCCCGGCUGUGGCAGCAUCCCCUCAGCAGCAGUUUGAGGAGCAGAGUCGGCACGGUCUGGAUGCGUCUGCGUGGAGUCAGAAAGCCAACCUGGUUGGAAUGGACAUGCGACUCCUACUUCUAUGUGAGAUUGCCCUGACUUCAACUGUUCAAGAAGAGAGCUGCAUCCAAGCACUUUGUGAAGUGUGUCGGCCCUGGGCUGUGACUGCUGCCUCAAGGAAGCCUGUUCUGAUAUCUCAGCCUUCCUUAGAGUGAGCUUUUUCUUCAUUUCCAACCUGUACCUCCUUUGACCUAAGAAACAAAAGCUGCCUGGGAAAAGAAGGAAACCCCACCUUGCAAAUGCUCCCUUUCAGCUAAGUUGAAUGGAAGGAGUUUGAGCCCUUCUUUGGAUGCUGCCUGAGAGCAUUAUUGUUGUCUUUUAAUUAUGUUCUGUUAAUAUAACAGCCAUUUAUUGACUUAAUGUAUUAGACAGCUGAGGUUAAUGGAUGUAUUGUUGUAUUGUUCUAAUAGUGGAAUGGAAUAAAACCUGUUGAAUUACCCUGAACUUGAAGAGU